rnacentral:rRNA from 1 species
UGGCGAGUGGCGAACGGGUGAGUAAUACAUCGGAACGUGUCCUGUAGUGGGGGAUAGCCCGGCGAAAGCCGGAUUAAUACCGCAUACGAUCUGCGGAUGAAAGCGGGGGAUCCUUCGGGACCUCGCGCUACAGGGGCGGCCGAUGGCAGAUUAGCUAGUUGGUGGGGUAAAGGCCUACCAAGGCGACGAUCUGUAGCUGGUCUGAGAGGACGACCAGCCACACUGGGACUGAGACACGGCCCAGACUCCUACGGGAGGCAGCAGUGGGGAAUUUUGGACAAUGGGCGAAAGCCUGAUCCAGCAAUGCCGCGUGUGUGAAGAAGGCCUUCGGGUUGUAAAGCACUUUUGUCCGGAAAGAAAACCUCGUGGUUAAUACCCGUGGGGGAUGACGGUACCGGAAGAAUAAGCACCGGCUAACUACGUGCCAGCAGCCGCGGUAAUACGUAGGGUGCAAGCGUUAAUCGGAAUUACUGGGCGUAAAGCGUGCGCAGGCGGUCCGCUAAGACAGAUGUGAAAUCCCCGGGCUUAACCUGGGAACUGCAUUUGUGAC